GUGUGUGGGGGGGAUCUCUCUAUGACAUCUGUCACCCUGAUCACUAUGACUGAUUUGGUUGGCUAGGUAGAGUCCUCUUCCUCCCUCACCACUUCCUGUGCAUCCCUUCUAAAAAUGCAUGCUCAGUGGAAGAGGAUGACCUUUCCAGGAAAAAGACUAUUCUGUCAAGGCUAUAAGAAUAGCCUUGCUCCCUUGAUAGAACUUCUAAACAAGUUCUAUAGGAAAUAAGCCACUGGAUUAUCUUGUCCAGGGAAAUUCCUGUGUUUGACUGCCUGCUUCCUGCCCAAGAUAGGUGAAGGAGCACCUUUGCCAUAUGCUU
rnacentral:snRNA from 1 species